ACAGGCCCUUCAACUCUGAAGCCCGUCGACGGGCCCAAAUUUUCCUUCAGUGAUUUUUGUCGAGAAAUUAAUUAAUAGAAUAAUUGAUUUAUCGUCUCUCGGUCGGGAGAGGAGAUCGAGAUGCAAAUCAUAAUAGUUCACGAGGCUGAGGCCUGAACCUCAAUCGCUCGAUCCCCCUCUCUUAAACGGCGGAGUCAACACGAGCCGAAUCAACCUAUCAAUAAGAGGAUACCUUCUGGAUUUUCCUUUACUUACUAACUUUUGACAUAAUCCUGAGAGUGUAGUAAUAUUUUGAAAAUCAGGAUCACACCGCAUAUCAUGCUCAUAAUGUUGCAAUUGAUGCCUCAGCUGAUAAUUAAUCUCCAUUUCACUGAAAUCUUGGGGAUAAUAUUUCUUCGCAAGCAUGCAAAGGUCAUCAACUUUAAAUGAUUUGAAAGAAUCUUUUGGAUCCAAAGCAGAGCUAAGACUUAGAAGUUCUACUGCUCUAUCGGAGAAUCUUUCACUUAACUCCAUCACUUGUGUGUUAACAACUUCAUAUAAUAUAUCAAAGCGAUAAUGAUGCUCAAUUGUAAUUUCAUCACUCUGCUGACAAGAACGACCUAUGCCCUUCACAUAACGAGAACUCAUAUCGGGUUUUUUGAUUAUGUUGAAGGUUGUCAGAAUGAUUAUCCAUUGAAGACAAGUUUACUACGUUGCAUGUAAAACCCAAUGAUUCUCCCUGAUCGGUUGUAUAUGAAAAUACUGACUCAUUUGGACCUCUUUGACAUUGUAAAAAUGUCACUGAAGCUUCCUCAUGGCUUCUCCUUCCUUAGUAGUCAGAAUUCCAAUGAGAAGAAGGGCCAUUCAUCUAACAAACGUGAAUUCUCACCGUCGUUGAAGCUUGUAACGGACAAGGGUAUUUAUAGGCCCGGUGAAUUAGUCAAUGCAACUAUUGAAAUUUGUAGUCCGAGAAACUCAGCAAAUGACAUCCCUUCAAUUUUGAUCAAUAACCUUGGGUUUGACCUUAAAGGAAUUGAGAAGUUGGAUACUCAGUGGUUCUCCACGCAGAAGCCAUUGCCAGGAUCAAGGCAAAGACGAGGCGAGCAUCUGUUUCUGGACUGCUCAGCACCAUCAAUAGUCUCGAAGGUCAUUCUUUCAACAGGAAGCACAAGAACAUAUAACGUACGUGUAGAGCUGCCAAACAUUUUACCACCAACUUACAGGGGCACAACCAUACGCUAUUUUUACUACAUUAGAAGCACCCUAUAUGGACGAUGGCUUGUGUUGGAGAAUGGACAUAAUGAUAGAUUUUCCAGAGAUGAUUUUUUUCAGUUGGAAGCUCGAACUCCAUUGCAAAUAUGGGUCACUCAGAAGAGCAGCAACUUGUUGCAUGGAGGAAAUUUGCCUGUACAAUCUCCGCAGGUUGAUAUUUACUGGAAAGAGAAGGAUAUGGAUAGCGAAUGGACUAGAGCUGACGAAGAUCCAGAUGGCAUUGAAGAAGAAUAUGACAGUUCAAGAGAUGAUGUUUCAUCUGUUUCCUCCUACAAUGUUACCAAAGGAAGUACUGAUAUACCUCUUAGAAGCUCCGUUUCCUUGCAGUCAAUGGUAAUGAGGAUUACCAAUAAUGAGGCACAAGGCUCCAGUUUCCCUUCACGUAUUCCAAUUUCUCAACUUUCAGUUGCUGAGAUCCCGGAUGAGCCUAGUGGGGAUCUUGCAGCAUCUCCAAAGAAGCUUAAUCAUUCUUCCUCUUCACUCUCCCCUAAACUGCACGGGGAGAUGUCAGGCUCCAGUUAUAUUGAUAAAGGGGCACAUUCUAUGAGUGGGCCUGUUGAACCUGCCUCAUCAGAAGGCUUCUUUCGAGGAAGAUCUUAUAAUAUCAGAAUUGAUGACCAAGUUUUACUUCUCUUUUCUCCAAGAAACUUUGAUUCUGCUUAUUAUUUUGGAGACAUGAUUGGUGGAGCUCUUACUUUCUUUCAUGGAGAAGGAUCUAGGAGAUGCCUUGAGGUGUCAGUAACCUUGGAGACUUCAGAAAUCAUAAGCCAACACUUUGUGCAUCCAUCACGGAGGAGCUCACAGACAAUCACAAAGGUACAGAGUGAUCAUCAUAAGGUUGUCGCUGACAUAGCCCAAACAAGCUUCCUUUUCUCAAUUCCAAUGGAUGGACCCAUGUCCUUUUCCACACCAUAUGUUACUGUUCAGUGGGCUCUUCGAUUCGAAUUCUUCACUACCCCUAAACAUGUGGACUUGAAAAGGUAUGAGCAUCCGCUUCUUAUUGUGGAGAGGGAAAAGGGGGAUUGGGUUCUUCCAAUUACUGUGUUUGCACCCUCACCACGCUCCAACGCAGCGCACUUGAAGAGUGAGAAUCUAUCUCUUGGAAGCUUGUGGAUACGGACAUGAAGGUUAAGCGUUCAUCAAAGGAAGCUUGCUCCUUUCGAGUCUGUAAGAUGGCACUUCUUUGAAGAACAGGGAGACACUUCUUCCUGUAUUAUGCAACCAACCCAGGCUCUCAUCACAAGCAAGUGCUAUUAUCGACACUUUUCAUGGAGGAAUGCUUAUGUUUGAUUCAAUCUUCCUUUUUUCUCAGGAAGAAGACCACGUUACCACGUUACGUAAGCUUUCCUCUGUCAAAUGAACUGCAAUUGAAGUUUCUCUUUCCAUUGCUAUCCUUUUCACGGUUCCUCAAGAAUGAAGCUCAAGAAUUCACCCAAUCGAGGGUCGCGACAUCAAGGGAAAGAAAUGAUGGUUCUUUAUUAAGGCUGCAUGCAAUUGCUCCACUCGACAACAACAACAAGCAUUUAAACAGACUUUGCAAGCUGAAACAAUAGAUUCAAGAAGUUCUUGAUUUGCUCUCUAUUUGGUUGGUUCUAUAGAUUUUAGAGAUUAUAAGAGAGGCUUAAGUAUUUUAAGGGAUGUGAUUUGGGAUUGAGUGAUUGAGAGAUCUUUACAUUGUAAUUCCUAAGAAUUUAGUGAAGUUUCCUGUGAGCGUAGGCUACCAGCUGAACCAUGUAUAUUUAUGUGUUUUGCAAUCUCGAUAUUUUUCUAUAUUAUUUGUGUGGUCAAUAUUAGUUUAUUCCUGAAAAUUUGUAACAAUAAGAAAGAACAAUGUUAAUUUACUGUAUUUGAGCAUGUAAAUGAAGGAACAAGUAUGCAAGUGAAAGAACAA